rnacentral:tRNA from 1 species
GCCGCUAUAGCUCAGUGGUAGAGCGCGUCCUUGGUAAGGACGAGGCCGCGGGUCCAAUUCCCGCUAGCGGCAC